GCACUUGAAAGUAAUCUGAGUCUAUUCAAGGAAUUUGACUUGAAGGUAAUCAGAGGGUCUAUUCGAGGAAUUUAAGUCACUUUGACUCUCUGUAAGUGGUCCGUCCACAUUUAGUUUAUGAACGUCCAAAUAGUUGAAAUUUUUUCUUUUUAUAAUAUUUCUUUGUUUUUCUCUCCAAAUUAAAACUACCAUUUCAUUUAACUUAAUUUUCUCCUUUUAUUAUAACCAAUUUAAUUAUUAUUCUUAUAUUAAGUGUUAACAACCACAAAUCUGCGCGUGUACGAUAGCCUUUAAAUUUCUAAAUUCCUUUGGUUUGUGCUGAACAGAGACCAGAGAGAAGACGACUUCCUUGUUAGCACUUGAUCCUCGCGCAUUGAUUCCAGUGUCGUGAUCUAUACGUUUAUUUCCGCAACUGUUGUCUUAAUCUAACCGCAUCACAGAUCGUGAUUUACUUAUCAAACCCGCAACCACUCUAAGUGAUUCAACCCGAAUUAGAAGACCCAAUAAGUCCAGCGCAGGCCUGCUGAAGCUGGAUACAGACACAUUAAGGUAAACUAAAUCAGCUCGUGUAUGGCGGCCGUAAAAGCCACGCAACUCACUGCUGCAGCCCUUCUCAAGGCAAGUUGAGAGUAUGAGUGUAACUAGAGGUAACGUGGGACAAACAAACAGAAGCUUAAUAUUAUAUUUUCUUGUAUUUAGUUAGAUAUCAUGUUUUGUUUCGUUUUAGAAUAUUUUUUUUAACUGUGUAUGACCAUCUUACCUGAAUUCAAUCUUCUGUAAUUCCUAUCAUAUGCAUUAUACAUGUAGUAGAUA